rnacentral:lncRNA from 1 species
CGCGGGAAAGGCAUGGAGUGCGCUAUCUGAUCCUAUUAAUCUCCAAGAAUUAACAGCAAAAUAAUAAUAAUAAUAAUUAGGAAUUGGAUUCUCGAUUGCUUUGAUUCAUCCAUUAGACCAUUUAAGUUUUAAAAAGAGUGAGAUUUUUUUUUCUUUUUUAUUUAGGAGAUUUCUAUUAGCUAUUUAUAAUCUUAUUUUAAGAAUUUUAACAUUUCUAA